rnacentral:lncRNA from 1 species
GUCACUACUCCGAGCUUCCACGAAAUCGAUCUUCGACCGAGCUUCUACAAUAAGCGGUCUCCUUUCAGCCUUUUACAAGAAUCGAACUCUGUCCGAACUUCCAUAGCAGAUGGAUUCCGGACGAACUUCUACAAUAGACGGACUCCAGCAGCUGGAUUUCUAUAAUGAUCGACCACCUCCAAUGUCUGCCGUACCUCCCCAGCCAUCAACCUUCAAUAGUAUCAGCCGAACUUCAACAACGCCAAUCGAACUUCCACAGGAUCCUCCAGACUCCUCCAGCGGAUGAACCUCCCCAACGC